rnacentral:tRNA from 1 species
GGGAAUAUACGCCAAGUGGCCAACGCGGGCGGUCUGUAAAACCGCUGUCGAUAGACUUCGGAGGUUUGAAUCCUUCUAUUCCCA